rnacentral:rRNA from 1 species
UACGUAGGGUGCAAGCGUUAAUCGGAAUUACUGGGCGUAAAGCGUGCGCAGGCGGCUUUGCAAGACAGAUGUGAAAUCCCCGGGCUUAACCUGGGAACUGCAUUUGUGACUGCAUGGCUAGAGUGCGGCAGAGGGGGAUGGAAUUCCGCGUGUAGCAGUGAAAUGCGUAGAUAUCAGGAAGAACACCAAUGGCGAAGGCAGCUCUCUGGGACGGUACUGACGCUGAGACGCGAAAGCGUGGGGAGCGAACAGG